AUGACAUGAGAAACUUUUUGUUUGGCAAUAUUUGAAUGUCUAAAAAUUUUUUUGUGUUUGAUUGUGGUUUGAUUGUGUUUGUGUUUGAUUGUGGUUUGAAGUGGUUUGGGUUGAAGUUAGCAUGAGAGCUGAAAUAGCAAUGUUUCUUCCAUAUUCCAAGCUGGGGGAGUAGAUAUUGACAUGUUGAACAUGUUUAAGUCGCAGAUAGCAAGAAAAAACCAUGAAAUUAUAGAGAAUGAAGUACUUAUAGUAAGAGAACAGAACCUGGAUAAGAUUUAAAACUUACUCCAAGAAGUACGUAAAGAAAUUAUAGAGAAUGAAGUACUUAUAGUAAGAGAACAGAACCUGGAUAAGAUUUAAAACUUACUCCAAGAAGUACGUACGAUUGGCAAAGCUCUUAAUCUUAGUAUUAGUAAUCUUAGUAUCAGACACUUGGUUUUUUACAGCACAGUGUGUUAUCUUUGCUUUAGCUGACCAGCGCUUAGAGGAGAAAGAGAGGAUGGAUAUUUGCGUUGGCAUUCUUGCGGAUAUAAAUAUUAGCCAAAGUUGAGUUGUUUGUUAUCUAAUGCUCUUUCCGUUUUAUGCUCUUUACAUGAAAAAAAGCUGACCAGCGCUUAGAGGAGAAAGAGAGGAUGGAUAUUCUUGUGAUGGAUGCGAGAAUGGAUAUUCUUGCGGCCUUGUUAAAAUAUGAUGCUCCAGAGAUAAAGAGCUUUGACAAAGAACAACCAGAACCUUUUACACAGGUUUGUUCCCUCUCAAAGCUAUCAGACUUUGUUUCUCAGGAGUCUUAUCUUUUUUUUUUCAAUCUUAGUAUAACCAAAGAUGAAUUCUCUCAUGGAAAAAAGAAAUGUCAAUAAAUCAAUAAAUCUUUUAAGACAUUUGUGUCCAGUGUAUGCCAAUUAGCAGUUGUUGAUGACAGGUCUGAAAAACACAUCAAACUGGUGCAAGAUUUCAUUGAAAGGACACAUUCCGAAGACAGGCUCCAAGACACGAUGAUGGUGGUUUUAGACAACUGGCGGAAGGUGUCUUAACGUGCCAAUAAACAAAACUUGAAAAACAUUUAGAUAAAAAAAGCACUUAAUGGC